rnacentral:rRNA from 1 species
UACGGAGGUCUCGAGCGUUGUUCGGAUUUACUGGGCGUAAAGGGAGCGUAGGCGGCCGGGUGUGUCGAAUGUGAAAGCCCACAACUCAACUGUGGAAUGGCAUUCGAAACUACCUGGCUAGAGUACUGGAGAGGAGAGCGGAAUUCUUGGUGUAGCGGUGAAAUGCGUAGAUAUCAAGAGGAACACCGGUGGCGAAGGCGGCUCUCUGGACAGAUACUGACGCUGAGGCUCUAAAGUUAGGGGAGCAAACAGGAUUAGAUACCCU